GGACUACUGGGGUAUCUAAUCCCGUUUGCUCCCCUGGCUUUCGUGCCUCAGCGUCAGGAAAUGUCCAGAGACUCGCCUUCGCCACUGGUGUUCCACUUGAUAUCUACGCAUUUCACUGCUACACCAAGUAUUCCAGUCUCCCCUCCAUUCCUCGAGCAGGAUAGUAUCCAACGCAGUUUCCGGGUUGAGCCCGGAGAUUUCACGUCAGACUUACCCUGCCGCCUACGCACCCUUUACGCCCAGUGAAUCCGAACAACGCUUGGGACCUCUGUAUUACCGCGGCUGCUGGCAC
rnacentral:rRNA from 2 species